rnacentral:rRNA from 1 species
GAUGAACGCUGGCGGCGUGCUUAAUGCAUGCAAGUCGAACGAGGACCUUUUUGUAGGUAACUACGGAGAGACUCCUAGUGGCGAACGGGUGAGUAACACGUGAGCAACCUGCCCCAAAGACCGGGAUAGCCCAUGGAAACGUGGAUUAAUACCGGAUACCCUCGCGGAACCGCAUGAUUCUGCGAGGAAAUGCUCCGGCGCUUUGGGAUGGGCUCGCGGCCUAUCAGCUUGUUGGUGAGGUAACGGCUCACCAAGGCACUGACGGGUAGCUGGUCUGAGAGGACGAUCAGCCACACUGGGACUGAGACACGGCCCAGACUCCUACGGGAGGCAGCAGCAGGGAAUAUUGCACAAUGGGCGAAAGCCUGAUGCAGCGACGCCGCGUGAGGGAUGAAGGCCUUCGGGUUGUAAACCUCUUUCAGUGGGGAAGAAGCGAAAGUGACGGUACCCACACAAGAAGGCCCGGCCAACUACGUG